UACGUAGGGUGCGAGCGUUAAUCGGAAUUACUGGGCGUAAAGCGUGCGCAGGCGGUUUGCUAAGACCGAUGUGAAAUCCUCGGGCUUAACCUGGGAACUGCAUUGGUGACUGGCAGGCUAGAGUAUGGCAGAGGGGGGUAGAAUUCCACGUGUAGCAGUGAAAUGCGUAGAGAUGUGGAGGAAUACCGAUGGCGAAGGCAGCCCCCUGGGCCAAUACUGACGCUCAUGCACGAAAGCGUGGGGAGCAAACAGG
rnacentral:rRNA from 1 species